rnacentral:lncRNA from 1 species
GGCUGGUCUGAGCUGGGCUGGGGGUCCGAGGCUCUGGGUGGAGCUUGGCUUUGGGGGGCCUGGGUCCCUGCUGGUCACCAGAAGCAUGAUUCACUUCCCCUGUCCGCUUGUCCCCAGGGCAAGCAAUAUGGAAGUUACCCAGCGAAUGGCAGAGAAUGCUUGUCUGAAGUGUCACUGCCAAGUGCCCCUGCUCUUCUCCCCACCUGAGAACCCUAACUCACCUGCCACCUCUCCCAGCAGGAUGCCGGCUUCGGCCAAGGUAACCUUGUCUGCGCUCCAGGUCCUGAGCCUUUGCAUCACGCGCUCAGCUCGUGUUUGCUGACUGCCUCGCUGAUGGUGCCCGGAGGACUCUCGAGUGGGGAGGAGGAUCUCAGCUCCAGACCCCACCAAGCCGCGCCGCCGGCUCCCAUCUGCCCGCUGCCAGCCUCCUCCGGCCGCUGCUCUGGCGCCCACGGCUGCUUAAUCUGAUCUCACAGGGAAAUCUCUAUUUGCUUCGGUGGCGGCGUCAGCCUUCACGGUCGAUUUCCGGCAUUGCCCUCGGUGUGGUGCUGACCCAGCUGUCGACAGUGUAGAAAAAUCAGUGUUAUCAGGGCCCAAUCUGGAGGCAUCUCUCACGCUGGCGUCCCUGACACGUUAAUUGAACUUGAUAAAUGCUCAUUCUUGAAUAAAGACA